AGUAGCCGCGGUAAUACAGAGGGUGCAAGCGUUAAUCGGAAUUACUGGGCGUAAAGCGCGCGUAGGUGGUUUGUUAAGUUGGAUGUGAAAUCCCCGGGCUCAACCUGGGAACUGCAUCCAAAACUGGCAAGCUAGAGUAUGGUAGAGGGUGGUGGAAUUUCCUGUGUAGCGGUGAAAUGCGUAGAUAUAGGAAGGAACACCAGUGGCGAAGGCGACCACCUGGACUGAUACUGACACUGAGGUGCGAAAGCGUGGGGAGCAAACAGGAUUAGAUACCCGCGUAGUCCCUGUCUCUUAUACC
rnacentral:rRNA from 1 species